CCUUAGUUUGCGUUAGCGAUAGUAACGGCAUCCUUUUGUUUUACAAAAGAUAUAGUGAAUAGCGCGACCUUUA
rnacentral:sRNA from 1 species